ACAAGGUUUCCGUAGGUGAACCUGCGGAAGGAUCAUUACAGAGUUCAUGCCCUCACGGGUAGAUCUCCCACCCUUGUGUAUAUAUUACAGUUGCUUUAGCGGGCCACAGGCUUGCCUGUACCGGCUCCGGCCGGGCGUGCCCGCUAGAGGACCCCAAACUCUGAAUGUUAGUGUCGUCUGAGUACUAUAAAAUAGUUAAAACUUUCAACAACGGAUCUCUUGGUUCUGGCAUCGAUGAAGAACGCAGCGAAAUGCGAUAAGUAAUGUGAAUUGCAGAAUUCAGUGAAUCAUCGAAUCUUUGAACGCACAUUGCGCCCCCUGGUAUUCCGGGGGGCAUGCCUGUUCGAGCGUCAUUAUAACCACAUCUAGCCUGGCUAGGUCUUGGGCUUCGCCUCCGGGCGGGCCUUAAAAGCAGUGGCGGUGCCGUCAGGCUCUAAGCGUAGUAAUUCUCUCGCUAUAGGCCCUGGCGGAUGCUGGCCAGCAACCCCAAAUUUUUCAGGUUGACCUCGGAUCAGGUAGGGAU
rnacentral:sRNA from 1 species